AAGUGUUAGAGCUCUUUUUGAAUUUGUCUAGCAGGUCUUCUGGUCUCCACUGGAAAACACCCCG